rnacentral:tRNA from 1 species
GGGUGGAGUUAUGGCUCAGUGGUAGAGCACUCGCCCAGCAAGUGUGAGGCACUGGGUUUAAUUCUCAGCACCCA